UGGGGAAUUUUGCGCAAUGGGGGAAACCCUGACGCAGCAACGCCGCGUGCGGGACGAAGUAUUUCGGUAUGUAAAGUUCUUUUAUUGGAGAAGAAAGAGAAAUUUGACGGUAACCAAUGAAUAAGCUCCGGCUAACUACGUGCCAGCAGCCGCGGUAAUACGUAGGGAGCGAGCGUUAUCCGGAAUUAUUGGGCGUAAAGGGUGCGUAGAUGGUUGAUAUAAGUCUUUUGUAAAAAUGCUAGGCUCAACCUAGUAGGGCAGAAGAUACUGAUGAACUAGAGUACGGCAGAGGCAAGUGGAACUACAUGUGUAGCGGUAAAAUGCGUAAAUAUAUGUAAGAACACCGGUGGCGAAGGCGGCUUGCUGGGCCUGUACUGACAUUGAGGCACGAAAGCGUGGGGAGCAAACAGG
rnacentral:rRNA from 1 species